rnacentral:rRNA from 1 species
GACGAACCGUGCGAACGUUGUUCGGAAUCACUGGGCUUAAAGGGCGCGUAGGCGGGCUGCCAAGUCUGGGGUGAAAUCCUCCGGCUCAACCGGAGAACGGCCUCGGAUACUGGCGGUCUCGAGGGAGGUAGGGGCGUGCGGAACUAAGGGUGGAGCGGUGAAAUGCGUUGAUAUCCUUAGGAACUCCGGUGGCGAAGGCGGCACGCUGGACCUCUUCUGACGCUGAGGCGCGAAAGCCAAGGGAGCAAACGGG